UCCCUGGUGGCUUAGAGGAUAAAGCAUCUGCCCACAAUGCAGGAGACCCGGGUUCAAUUCCUGUGUAGGGAA
rfam:TPA: Bos taurus chromosome 11, whole genome shotgun sequence.